rnacentral:lncRNA from 1 species
UUUCAGAACUGUGUGAGGGGCUGGCCGGUUAUUCUUCACCAAGGGGCGGCCCUGCACCCCUCGGCGUUAAUCGGCUGGACCCUGUCAAACAGCCGAUCAAUUGAUGUAGCCACGGCUCCCAGCAGGAGGGAGGCAGGAUGAGCCCUUGUUCCGCUGCUGCGGCCUCUCCAUCGUCUCCGGCGCUGCUCCUCUCCCGGGACUGGAUCUUACCUUCCUGCGUUUUCAUUUUUACAAAAUAACGAGGGCCACCUCCGGUGACUCAUCUGGUCCUGAUCAGAGAGACUCCUGCUCCCCAAGGACAGUAGGGAGGGGAGGGGCGCCACCCCAGUGUCAGCUCAGGUGCCAGCUGGUGCCGGUGGAGAAACCACAGUAAGGACUGGGACAGAGAGAACCUGACCUGCAGAGUCCUUGUCUCAGCGUGGAGAAUCGCUACAGCAAUGGCCCCUGUGGACCCUGCCUCGCUCAGUCCCUCCCACACCUGCACUGCGUGGCCAACAGAAUGCAGUGGGAGGGACUUUGCAG